rnacentral:rRNA from 1 species
ACUGUGUGUUGUUGGGUAGGGGAGCGUUCUGUAAGCCUGUGAAGGUGUGUCGUGAGGCAUGCUGGAGGUAUCAGAAGUGCGAAUGCUGACAUAAGUAACGAUAAAGCGGGUGAAAAGCCCGCUCGCCGGAAGACCAAGGGUUCCUGUCCAACGUUAAUCGGGGCAGGGUGAGUCGACCCCUAAGGCGAGGCCGAAAGGCGUAGUCGAUGGGAAACGGGUUAAUAUUCCCGUACUUGGUGUUACUGCGAAGGGGGGACGGAGAAGGCUAUGUUGGCCGGGCGACGGUUGUCCCGGUUUAAGCGUGUAGGUGUGUGUUCCAGGUAAAUCCGGUUCACUUUAACACUGAGGCGUGACGACGAGGCACUACGGUGCUGAAGCAACAAAUGCCCUGCUUCCAGGAAAAGCCUCUAAGCAUCAGGUAACAUCAAAUCGUACCCCAAACCGACACAGGUGGUCAGGUAGAGAAUACCAAGGCGCUUGAGAGAACUCGGGUGAAGGAACUAGGCAAAAUGGUGCCGUAACUUCGGGAGAAGGCACGCUGACACGUAGGUGAAGUGAUUUACUCAUGGAGCUGAAGUCAGU